rnacentral:tRNA from 1 species
AUUUAAAUAGUUUAAUAAAAAUAUUGAUUUGUGGAGUCAAAGAUAUAUAAAUUAUUUUAAAUA